AUUGAACGCUGGCGGCAUGCUUUACACAUGCAAGUCGAACGGCAGCACGGGUGCUUGCACCUGGUGGCGAGUGGCGAACGGGUGAGUAAUACAUCGGAACGUGCCCUAUCGUGGGGGAUAACGCAGCGAAAGUUGCGCUAAUACCGCAUACGCCCUGAGGGGGAAAGCGGGGGACCGUAAGGCCCCGCGCGAUUGGAGCGGCCGAUGUCUGAUUAGCUUGUUGGUGAGGUAAAGGCUCACCAAGGCAACGAUCAGUAGCUGGUCUGAGAGGACGAUCAGCCACACUGGGACUGAGACACGGCCCAGACUCCUACGGGAGGCAGCAGUGGGGAAUUUUGGACGAUGGGGGCAACCCUGAUCCAGCAAUGCCGCGUGAGUGAAGAAGGCCUUCGGGUUGUAAAGCUCUUUUGUCAGGGAAGAAACAGCAGCUUUAAUACAGCAUGCGAAUGACGGUACCUGAAGAAUAAGCACCGGCUAACUACGUGCCAGCCGCCGCCGUAA
rnacentral:rRNA from 1 species